UACAGAGGUGGCAAGCGUUGUUCGGAAUUACUGGGCGUAAAGGGCGCGUAGGCGGUUUUGUAAGUCAGACGUGAAAUCCCCAGGCUUAACUUGGGAACUGCGUCUGAUACUGCAAAACUUGAGUGCGGGAGAGGGAUGUGGAAUUCCAGGUGUAGCGGUGAAAUGCGUAGAUAUCUGGAGGAACACCGGUGGCGAAGGCGGCAUUCUGGACCAACACUGACGCUGAGGAGCGAAAGCCAGGGGAGCAAACGGG
rnacentral:rRNA from 1 species